CUGCUCAACCACAGGUUGCCAUUUCCUGUGAGGACCACAGCAGAAAGGACUUCGCUAUUGCAGGUUGAACCUGACCUGCAUGGGAAAUUCUGCUGCUCUGGCUCUAACUCUAACAUCCCCUGAAUGUCAGAUGGUAGCCUGGAUGACAUUAAACUUUAGGGGUCUUGCUGGGUGGCCGCGGCUGUGGCUGGCCUAGAACGAGAGAUCCACUUGAUUCUCCUGAAUGUUGGACUCAAAGUUGUGCGCACCACCACACCUGGCUCUUUUCUUAACUGAUACUGUUGGGCGGCUUCAGAGGAAGUUUGGAGGGGAUGACAACCUAACAAGGUAUGAAAGAAAGAAGAUUAGAGGGAAGAGGGGCAUAGACCUCUUUAGGCGACAAAUUGCUGAUUAGGGACAUUGGAUUCCUAAGGGUAAGUUCAGUCUUCAUCAUCAAAAUAUCCAGAGAUCCAGCAAAUGCAGCAGCCAAAACCAGAAGCAGCAGGAACCACCACCAGAAGCAGG